AACAUUUCACAACACGAGCUGACGACAGCCAUGCAGCACCUGUCUCAGCGUUCCCGAAGGCACCAAUCCAUCUCUGGAAAGUUCGCUGGAUGUCAAGAGUAGGUAAGGUUCUUCGCGUUGCAUCGAAUUAAACCACAUGCUCCACCGCUUGUGCGGGCCCCCGUCAAUUCAUUUGAGUUUUAACCUUGCGGCCGUACUCCCCAGGCGGUCAACUUAAUGCGUUAGCUGCGCCACUAAAAUCUCAAGGAUUCCAACGGCUAGUUGACAUCGUUUACGGCGUGGACUACCAGGGUAUCUAAUCCUGUUUGCUCCCCACGCUUUCGCACCUCAGUGUCAGUAUCAGUCCAGGUGGUCGCCUUCGCCACUGGUGUUCCUUCCUAUAUCUACGCAUUUCACCGCUACACAGGAAAUUCCACCACCCUCUACUGUACUCUAGCUUGCCAGUUUUGGAUGCAGUUCCCAGGUUGAGCCCGGGGCUUUCACAUUCAACUUAACAAACCACCUACGCGCGCUUUACGCCCAGUAAUUCCGAUUAACGCUUGCACCCUCUGUAUUACCGCGGCUGCUGGCACAGAGUUAGCCGGUGCUUAUUCUGUCGGUAACGUCAAAACAGUAAGGUAUUCGCUCACUGCCCUUCCUCCCAACUUAAAGUGCUUUACAAUCCGAAGACCUUCUUCACACACGCGGCAUGGCUGGAUCAGGCUUUCGCCCAUUGUCCAAUAUUCCCCACUGCUGCCUCCCGUAGGAGUCUGGACCGUGUCUCAGUUCCAGUGUGACUGAUCAUCCUCUCAGACCAGUUACGGAUCGUCGCCUUGGUGAGCCAUUACCUCACCAACUAGCUAAUCCGACCUAGGCUCAUCUGAUAGCGCAAGGCCCGAAGGUCCCCUGCUUUCUCCCGUAGGACGUAUGCGGUAUUAGCGUUCCUUUCGAAACGUUGUCCCCCACUACCAGGCAGAUUCCUAGGCAUUACUCACCCGUCCGCCGCUGAAUCGAAGAGCAAGCUCUUCUCAUCCGCU
rnacentral:rRNA from 1 species